GGAAGUAAAAGUCGAACAAGGUCUCCGUUGGUGAACCAGCGGAGGGAUCAUUACAGAGUUAUCCAACUCCCAAACCCAUGUGAACAUAUCUCUUUGUUGCCUCGGCGCAAGCUACCCGGGACCUCGCGCCCCGGGCGGCCCGCCGGCGGACAAACCAAACUCUGUUAUCUUCGUUGAUUAUCUGAGUGUCUUAUUUAAUAAGUCAAAACUUUCAACAACGGAUCUCUUGGUUCUGGCAUCGAUGAAGAACGCAGCGAAAUGCGAUAAGUAAUGUGAAUUGCAGAAUUCAGUGAAUCAUCGAAUCUUUGAACGCACAUUGCGCCCAUUAGUAUUCUAGUGGGCAUGCCUGUUCGAGCGUCAUUUCAACCCCUAAGCACAGCUUAUUGUUGGGCGUCUACGUCUGUAGUGCCUCAAAGACAUUGGCGGAGCGGCAGCAGUCCUCUGAGCGUAGUAAUUCUUUAUCUCGCUUCUGUUAGGCGCUGCCCCCCCGGCCGUAAAACCCCCAAUUUUUUCUGGUGACCUCGGAUCAGGUAGGAAUACCCGCUGAACUUAAGCAUAUCAAUAAGCGGAGGA
rnacentral:rRNA from 1 species